rnacentral:rRNA from 1 species
AGGUAAGCUACUAAGAGCGAAUGGUGGAUGCCUUGACUGGUAAAGGCGAUGAAGGACGUACUAGACUGCGAUAAGCUACGGGGAGCUGUCAAGAAGCUUUGAUCCGUAGAUUUCCGAAUGGGGCAACCCAAUGUAUAGAGAUAUACAUUACCUAUAUAGGAGCGAACGAGGGGAAUUGAAACAUCUUAGUACCCUCAGGAAAAGAAAUCAAUAGAGAUUGCGUCAGUAGCGGCGAGCGAAAGCGCAAGAGGGCAAACCCAGUGCUUGCACUGGGGGUUGUAGGACUGCAAUGUGCAAGAGGUAAGUUUAGCAGAACAUUCUGGAAAGUAUAACCAUAGAGGGUGAUAGUCCCGUAUGCGAAAAACAAACCUUAGCUAGCAGUAUCCUGAGUAGGGCGGGACACGAGGAAUCCUGUCUGAAUCCGGGUCGACCACGAUCCAACCCUAAAUACUAAUACCAGAUCGAUAGUGCACAAGUACCGUGAGGGAAAGGUGAAAAGAACUGAGGUGAUCAGAGUGAAAUAGAACCUGAAACCAUUUGCUUACAAUCAUUCAGAGCCCUAUGUAGCAAUACAGGGUGAUGGACUGCCUUUUGCAUAAUGAGCCUGCGAGUUGUGGUGUCUGGCAAGGUUAAGCAAACGCGAAGCCGUAGCGAAAGCGAGUCUGAAUAGGGCGCUUAGUCAGAUGCUGCAGACCCGAAACGAAGUGAUCUAUCCAUGAGCAAGUUGAAGCUAGUGUAAGAACUAGUGGAGGACUGAACCCAUAGGCGUUGAAAAGCCCCGGGAUGACUUGUGGAUAGGGGUGAAAGGCCAAUCAAACUUCGUGAUAGCUGGUUCUCUCCGAAAUAUAUUUAGGUAUAGCGUUGUGUCGUAAUAUAAGGGGGUAGAGCACUGAAUGGGCUAGGGCAUACACCAAUGUACCAAACCCUAUCAAACUCCGAAUACCUUAUAUGUAAUCACAGCAGUCAGGCGGCGAGUGAUAAAAUCCGUCGUCAAGAGGGAAACAACCCAGACUACCAGCUAAGGUCCCUAAGUCUUACUUAAGUGGAAAACGAUGUGAAGUUACUUAAACAACCAGGAGGUUGGCUUAGAAGCAGCCAUCCUUUAAAGAAAGCGUAAUAGCUCACUGGUCUAGUGAUUUUGCGCGGAAAAUAUAACGGGGCUAAAGUAAGUACCGAAGCUGUAGACUUAGUUUACUAAGUGGUAGGAGAGCGUUCUAUUUGCGUCGAAGGUAUACCGGUAAGGAGUGCUGGAGCGAAUAGAAGUGAGCAUGCAGGCAUGAGUAGCGAUAAUUAAUGUGAGAAUCAUUAACGCCGUAAACCCAAGGUUUCCUACGCGAUGCUCGUCAUCGUAGGGUUAGUCGGGUCCUAAGUCGAGUCCGAAAGGGGUAGACGAUGGCAAAUUGGUUAAUAUUCCAAUACCAACAUUAGUGUGCGAUGGAAGGACGCUUAGGGCUAAGGGGGCUAGCGGAUGGAAGUGCUAGUCUAAGGUCGUAGGAGGUUAUACAGGCAAAUCCGUAUAACAAUACUCCGAGAACUGAAAGGCUUUUUGAAGUCUUCGGAUGGAUAGAAGAACCCCUGAUGCCGUCGAGCCAAGAAAAGUUUCUAAGUUUAGCUAAUGUUGCCCGUACCGUAAACCGACACAGGUGGGUGGGAUGAGUAUUCUAAGGCGCGUGGAAGAACUCUCUUUAAGGAACUCUGCAAAAUAGCACCGUAUCUUCGGUAUAAGGUGUGGUUAGCUUUGUAUUAGGAUUUACUCCGAAAGCAAGGAAACUUACAACAAAGAGUCCCUCCCGACUGUUUACCAAAAACACAGCACUCUGCUAACUCGUAAGAGGAUGUAUAGGGUGUGACGCCUGCCCGGUGCUCGAAGGUUAAUUGAUGGGGUUAGCAUUAGCGAAGCUCUUGAUCGAAGCCCGAGUAAACGGCGGCCGUAACUAUAACGGUCCUAAGGUAGCGAAAUUCCUUGUCGGUUAAAUACCGACCUGCAUGAAUGGCGUAACGAGAUGGGAGCUGUCUCAAAGAGGGAUCCAGUGAAAUUGUAGUGGAGGUGAAAAUUCCUCCUACCCGCGGCAAGACGGAAAGACCCCGUGGACCUUUACUACAGCUU